UAGGCAACAGCUUCACCAUCACUUGCUCUGUUAAGGUGGUGCCUUUCACCUGCAGAUCAAUGGAAUGGCUGUUCAGUCAGAGAGCACCUACAGUGGCUCCGUCACCUUCUCGGUUCCUGCUGCACAGUAUUCCCACAUGGGGAAUUAUACCUGCAGCUAUGAGGCUGAAGUGUUCAAUCGGACGUUUGUCUCACCUUCAAGUGCUUUGAUGCCCCUAACUGUGAGAGUGAAAGAGGAGGCUGCAUUGGACUGUAUUUUUACAUUCAUUGGGAUCUUCACAAACUGCUCAUGACAUGAAAUUAUAAUACUUUGCAAUAUGUAAGCAAACAUUUUUGCAAAUGAACAACAAUUUUAGUAAGCCCUUAGAAUAUUGAAG
rnacentral:lncRNA from 1 species